GACGAACGCUGGCGGCAUGCCUAACACAUGCAAGUCGAACGGAAAGGCCGUGCUUGCUGGGUGCUCGAGUGGCGAACGGGUGAGUAAUGCCUGGGUGUUCGGCCCUUCACUUGGGGAUACGUCCGGAAACCGGCGUUUAUAACCGGUGAGGCGCUAUUUUGAGUGUGGUGGUUCGUGAGUCUUGUCGGUGUCGGAUGAGCUCGUGGCGUAUCAGCUUGUUGGUGGGGUAAUGGCCUACCAAGGCGGCGACGGGUAGCUGGACUGAGAGGGUGGGCGGCCACAGUGACACUGAGAGACGGCCCAGGCUCCGACGAGUGGGAGAAGGGGGGAAGAUUGAUCAAGCGGCGCAGGCCGGAUGCAGCGGCGCCGCGGGGGGGAUAACGGUCUACGUGUUGUGAACGCCUAGUGCUUUAAACGAAGCUUUUUGUGACGGUACCUAGAGAAGAAGCACCGGCUAACUUCGUG
rnacentral:rRNA from 1 species